GGAAAUUUUUCUGUCAACCGAACACAACCCAACCUGUUUCUCUCUCUCUUUCUCUCUCUCUCUCUCUCUCUCUCCAUCGUCUCAAUUUCUCGGGUGAGAUCCAUUUUCUUCCCGGCUAACACGAACAAAGGGACGGCGUACCCUAUAGGCCAUGAGUUAUAGAAGGGAGCAUCGUGCUUCUAGGACAUCUUUGUUUGAUGGCCUUGAUGGCCUUGAGGAAGGUCGAGUUAGGGCCUCCUCUUCAUACUCUCACGAAAUUAGUGAGCCUGAAAAUGACAAAGCGAUGGACAAUUUGCAGGACAGAGUUAGUCUUCUGAAGAGAUUAACGGGUGACAUACAUGAGGAGGUUGAGAGUCAUAAUCGAAUGCUUGACAGAAUGGGAAACAACAUGGAUGCAUCAAGAGGAGUAAUGUCAGUAACCAUGGACCGAUUCAAGAUGGUGUUCGAGAAGAAAUCAAAUAGUAGAAUGUGCAAACUCGUGGGUUUUUUUGUGGUUUUGUUCUUGACUAUAUAUUUUCUUAUUAGGGUGUUUCGGUAGAUUUAUUGUUGAAACAAUUAAAGAUCCUGUCUGCCUGUCUGGUGUUGGAAAUGGAGGUCACAUACAUAGAAGCACAAAGAUGGUUUCCAGGUGUAUAAUGCGAGUUCUUACCCCAGAAAGAGAUGGUAAAAAAGCCUAACUCUUUGUUGUACUGCAAUAUAAGAACACGUGGACUGGCUUGUUUGCCUAUAUUGGUGACUUCAACUGUUAUGAAAACGUUCUUUUGUAGCAUUAAUUUAAUUGGGGGAGGGAGAAUGGCUUGCGCCUUACCACCAAACCCCAAGCAGAAGCAAUCAGUUUGUGUCCUGAGUUUGAUUAGAGUUUUUAAAAUUGAAAGGUUGGCGGUACGUCUCCCUUUGGAGGGUUUUGGUUUGUCCCUUACAAAAACUCAACAGGAAAUGCAGCUGACUCAGAUCUAAAACGUUUGUGAA